GUGCUGGGACAGAACCUAAUAAGUAAUGUAGGUAUUAGUUAAAAUAUAUUAUGACCUUCUUUUUUCUUGUGAACAAAUUUACUACAAGCAAUUUGGCUCCGAUUUAUAACGAUAGCAACUUUUCUGAAAGAAAAUUUUACUGGGGAGGUACUUUAGGGAGAUCAUUUUUCAAUUUUCCCAAGAGUUUUUCCAGCAUAUGUGAAAAACCAAGAUAGAACAUGGGCAAACCGGAAAAACGUAGGAAAAUUGGGAAAAUCG